rnacentral:tRNA from 1 species
GUCCUAUGGUGUAAUGGCAACACAUUGGUUUUUGGUACCAACGUUCAAGGUUCGAAUCCUUGUAGGACUA